rnacentral:rRNA from 1 species
UACGUAGGGGGCAAGCGUUGUCCGGAAUCAUUGGGCGUAAAGCGCGUGUAGGCGGCUCGGUAAGUCCGCUCUGAAAGUCCAAGGCUCAACCUUGGGAUGCGGGUGGAUACUGCCGGGCUCGAGUCCGGAAGAGGCGAGUGGAAUUCCUGGUGUAGCGGUGAAAUGCGCAGAUAUCAGGAGGAACACCGGUGGCGAAGGCGGGUCUCUGGGCCGAUACUGACGCUGAGGAGCGAAAGCGUGGGGAGCGAACAGG